rnacentral:rRNA from 1 species
AGUGAACGCUGGCGGUAGGCCUAACACAUGCAAGUCGAACGGCAGCACAGUAAGAGCUUGCUCUUACGGGUGGCGAGUGGCGGACGGGUGAGGAAUACAUCGGAAUCUACUUUUUCGUGGGGGGUAACGUAGGGAAACUUACGCUAAUACCGCAUACGACCUACGGGUGAAAGCAGGGGAUCUUCGGACCUUGCGCGAUUGAAUGAGCCGAUGUCGGAUUAGCUAGUUGGCGGGGUAAAGGCCCACCAAGGCGACGAUCCGUAGCUGGUCUGAGAGGAUGAUCAGCCACACUGGAGCUGAGACACGGUCCAGACUCCUACGGGAGGCAGCAGUGGGGAAUAUUGGACAAUGGGCGCAAGCCUGAUCCAGCCAUACCGCGUGGGUGAAGAAGGCCUUCGGGUUGUAAAGCCCUUUUGUUGGGAAAGAAAAGCAGCAGGUUAAUACCCCGCUGUUCUGACGGUACCCAAAGAAUAAGCACCGGCUAACUUCGUG